rnacentral:rRNA from 1 species
UCGGGAUCAGUACGCUGGUCAUGCCUUUGGUAUGCACUGGUGUCACUGGUUUCUCCCUUCUGAAGAACCGUGAUGUCAUUAAUUUGGUGUCGCGGGGAAUCAGGACUGUUACUUUGAAAAAAUUAGAGUGUUUAAAGCAGGCUCACGCUUGAAUACAUUAGCAUGGAAUAAUGAAAUAGGACGUUUGACCCUAUUUUGUUGGUUUCUAGGAUCGACGUAAUGAUUAAUAGGGAUAGUUGGGGGCAUUAGUAUUCAAUUGUCAGAGGUGAAAUUCUUGGAUUUAUUGAAGACUAACUACUGCGAAAGCAUUUGCCAAGGAUGUUUUCAUUAAUCAAGAACGAAAGUUAGGGGAUCGAAGACGAUCAGAUACCGUCGUAGUCUUAACCAUAAACUAUGCCGACUAGGGAUCGGAUGAUGUUAAUUUUAUAAUGAC